UUCAUUUUAAAUGCUUACAGCAAAGACAAUGAUUCUCAUCUUCUACUUCAUGGACAUUAUUGUUCAAACUUUAGGCUCUUCUCUCAGUGAUCAGGUCCAUCAGUCUCCAGCUGACAUGUUCCACAAGCCUGGAGAAAAAGCUCUCAUCAAUUGUUUACACAGCAUUGAGGGCUAUGAUCAGAUCCUCUGGUACAAACAUUCAAACAACAAGCACAUGCAGUUCCUGGGAUACAUCAGCGCAAUGACUGCAUUUCCAGAGCCUGGAGUGAAAAUAAGUGGUAACGCAAACAAAAACCAGAACUCUACGCUGACAGUUGAGGAGCUAGAUGUGAACAGCAGUGCAGUUUAUUUCUGUGCUGCUAGAUACCACAGUGCUUCAUAA